UGGCUCAGUUGGUAGAGCAUGGUGUUUGCAACGCCAGGGUUGUGGGUUUGAUUCCCAU
rfam:Salmo salar isolate Sally breed double haploid chromosome ssa03, whole genome shotgun sequence.